UGGGGUCCUGCCACGGAGGUUCAUUAGGCCACAGCCCGCGGCUUGCGGCCUUUUCCGGCGCACGCGGCGGCUGAGGAGGGUGAUGCUGCGAAAGGACGGGAUGGGAAAAGCUGCUGCCCCCAGCACGUUCCUGUGGGAGAAACACGUGGCCUUUGCAGCUUCCUUUGGCAGGAGGAGAGGGGACAAUGGAGGGUGAUGCUGCGAAAGGACGGGAUGGGAAAAGCUGCUGCCCCCAGCACGUUCCUGUGGGAGAAACACGUGGCCUGUGCAGCUUCCUUUGGCAGGAGGAGAGGGGACAAUGGAGGGCUCCAUGAAGACCAUGGCCAGCGUGUCCGGGCCCAGGACGCUGUUGCUGCCUGUGGAAAACCAACCCGCUGCUUUUCCUUGUGCAAAGGAGCCGCUUCCCAAGCAGCCUCUGUGCUCCUGCCACCGCUGCAGCGCGUUGGGUGUGAGGCAGAGCUGCAGGCGCACGCUGUAACGCGUGGCUGUGCCCACUGUCAGCUCUGCGGGCUGACACAGGAACCACCGGCUCUGGUUGUUACCCAGCACUCUGCCAGCGCUGAUCAUGGACCAGUGAGCCAACAAAUCCCAGCUGCCUGAGCCUGGAGGAAGACGAGCUCUGUAUUGGUCCAGGGUUUGAACAAAGGCCAAGGACGCUGAAGUGAAAGGCACGCUGUGAGGAGGACUUUCAGCUUCAUCCCCAACAACCACCACAGAGAGCUGUGACACAGGCAUAACCCGGGUGGGCUGAGGCAGGGCAACAGGCAGAGCUGAUGAUAAUGAGUUUUGGAGGUGAUUAGCAUAACCCAACCUUUUCUAAAUGAAUGUGUAUGUUUAUUGUGAUAAAUGAUUUAAUCCCAAACAGGAAUCCAAUUAAAGCUUACAACUUAAGUGAA